ACUACAUUAGCAAUUGGAUCGAACGACAAAUUUCUCCUCCAAUACGUUAUAAGCUAACCAAACUUUAUUAAGAAAUACUAUAAACCAAGGUUCAAAGUAUAAAAACGAGAUUAUUACAAUGAUGAUUUUUGAAUUUUUAUUAUAAUAUAGUAACAUGAAUGGUUCUUUAAUGUAUUGUUACAACUUUGUUUAAAGAAAUGACAAAUUAAAAUCAUAAAUUAUAAAUUAAAAAACAAAAUAUAAAUCUAACAUUUUAUUAUCUGUAAGUGAUCUUAUUUUUUACACUUUUCUGAUUUCUAAAAUUUUAUUAUUUCAUUAUUAUUAUUGAUUAUAUAUAAUAAUAUAUAAUAAUUAUUAUAAUUAUAUGAUAAUAUAUAAUAAUAAUUCUUGAUAAAUUUAAUUUAUUGUUAUUGAUUUUUUAAAAAAAUAUUUAUUUAAAAAUAAAAUAUAUAAUCUUUAAAAUAUUAAAUUAAUUUCAUAUUUCAUCAAAUAUUUUUAUUAUAUAGUAUAAUUUCAUAAAUGCAUAUAUAUAUAUAUAUAUAUAUAUGUGUGUAUAUCUCAAUAAAAUUACUUGUAGUUUUAGAUGCGCUCUGGAUAAUUGAAAUAUUCUUGUCAAAAUUGAAUUAUGAUAUAAACAUGUUCACUUCUAAAAUAUAAUUAUUAUGCACAAAUUAAAAUAUUUAAAAAAUAUUUAUUUAUAAAUAUUAUAAAUAUUUAAUAAAAUAAAGAUAUUGAAUUGUAACUUUUAAAAUAAAUGAAAAUAUUGAAAAAGGAAUCAGAAUUGUAGAAAAAUUCUAGAAUACUUAGAUAUUAUACAAUAUUAUAUAAUUUUAUUUAUAUAUUUUAUUUAUAUAAUUUAUAUAAGAAGUUUAUAAGAAAAUAUAAAAUAAAAUAAUAUAUCUUUUGUUAAAAAAAAGUUGUUAUACAAAUGUUAUACAAAUAAAAUAUUUUGAUUUCUGAA